rnacentral:rRNA from 1 species
CCUACAGGCGGCAGCAGUCGAGAAUCAUUCACAAUGGGGGAAACCCUGAUGGUGCGACGCCGCGUGGGGGAAUGAAGGUCUUCGGAUUGUAAACCCCUGUCAUGUGGGCGCCAAUUAAAAAGAUAGUACCACAAGAGGAAGCGACGGCUAACUCUGUGCCAGCAGCCGCGGUAAUACAGAGGUCUCAAGCGUUGUUCGGAAUCACUGGGCGUAAAGCGUGCGUAGGCUGUUUCGUAAGUCGGGUGUGAAAGGUGCGGGCUCAACCCGAGGACGGCACAUGACACUGCGAGACUAGAGUAAUGGAGGGGGAACCGGAAUUCUGGGUGUAGCAGUGAAAUGCGUAGAUAUCG